GAGUAGGUUAUUGCCAGGGUUUUUAUUUUUAUACUUUAAACUUUGAUUUUAUUUUUAUGUUUUUUAAAUAUUGGUGUUUUUGAAUGUGUUGUUUAAAUAACAUAAUUAAUAAAAUAUAUAUUGACAUGUAUUAAACAAAGAUAUAUAUUAUUUUAUGUUGUAUAAAUAAAUUGGCAAAAUAGAGAUGGAAGAUAAAAAUAUGGUCAAAGUAAUAAGAGUCUAUGGUGAAUGCCUA
rnacentral:misc_RNA from 1 species